rnacentral:rRNA from 1 species
GAACUGAAGAGUUUGAUCAUGGCUCAGAUUGAACGCUGGCGGCAGGCCUAACACAUGCAAGUCGAGCGGUAGAGAGGUGCUUGCACCUCUUGAGAGCGGCGGACGGGUGAGUAAUGCCUAGGAAUCUGCCUGGUAGUGGGGGAUAACGCUCGGAAACGGACGCUAAUACCGCAUACGUCCUACGGGAGAAAGCAGGGGACCUUCGGGCCUUGCGCUAUCAGAUGAGCCUAGGUCGGAUUAGCUAGUUGGUGAGGUAAUGGCUCACCAAGGCGACGAGCCGUAACUGGUCUGAGAGGAUGAUCAG